ACGGAGGGGGCUAGCGUUGUUCGGAAUUACUGGGCGUAAAGCGCACGUAGGCGGCUUUGCAAGUCAGAGGUGAAAGCCCAGGGCUCAACCCUGGAAUUGCCUUUGAGACUGCAUCACUAGAACACGGGAGAGGUAAGCGGAAUUCCGAGUGUAGAGGUGAAAUUCGUAGAUAUUCGGAAGAACACCAGUGGCGAAGGCGGCUUACUGGACCGUUGUUGACGCUGAGGUGCGAAAGCGUGGGGAGCAAACAGGA
rnacentral:rRNA from 1 species